UGAGACUACCAUGUGGUCACUUAGCGCGGUCAGCUGAGCUUCAACAAAGGCGGUAUCCUGCGCGUCCACAGCAGAGCUGACCCUGAUUGGCUUCUAAUCUAGUAAUCGGGUAGAUGGCGGUAAUGCAACUACUGACGGUGACCUCUACUGCUAGGGACAAAACUGGUGGCUCAGCGGCUCAGAAAGGGACUGUGAGAUUAGCUUGAGCUCUGGGACCAGUUUUAUCCUCCACUGUUGGCUGGAGCCGAAACCUGUUUCAUCCUCACCUCAGUUGCCUUCAUCAUACUACUCUCACUCUUUGCAGCCGUGGCCAAGAUCAAAGAUGAGUGAUGAUGAUGAUAAUAAAGGCGAUGACAUACUAACAUUGUGAUACUCUGACUGGCCAAUGAAUGUGAACACAAUUAACAUUUGCACAGAACCGUUGCAGCUUCAGGCAAUAUGUGGUAUUACACUUCAUUUCAAGUUCUCUAAUUUCUACUUUGUCUCAAAAACCAAUUCUGUAUGCAGUUGUUUUUACUUGUUUGUUUAUCUGUUUUUUGCUACACUACCAGCCAAUGGUGUAUUUUUACAAGGGAGGAGGGAAUAUGCCAUAUUUUUUGUACUGUUUCAUGAAUUUAAAAAGUGAAUUUAUACAUUAAGUCAUAUAAAAUUAGACUUAAGUAUUGUGGCUGGCAAUCUGAGUUCAAUCCUCCAUUUUUUGAUGACAUCAGGGGAUUUAUGUCCAGUUAAAGAUUCUUAUUUUCUAUAAAGUUGGUCACUGGUUUGGAUCAACAUAACCCUUGUCUCCUAAAUGUGGUAGUAGAAAAGGUUGCACCAGAAUAGUCGUCUAGCAGAAACUUUCACUCUGUGGAAGACCACUGUAGGGGACCGCUGAAAGUGAAUAUUUCCUGUUAAUUUUAGCGUAUAUCUCUGGUGGUAGCCCUAAUCCUACUGUACCAACAUAGAUUUAUGCUAAAGCAUGGUUCUACUAAAAGUGUAAAUCAAAAUUAUACAAAAAUAUGCAGGUUGUUUGUGAUUUUUAAAUAAA